UCCUACGGGAGGCAGCAGUAGGGAAUCUUCCGCAGUGGACGAAAGUCUGACGGAGCAACGCCGCGUGAGUGAUGAAGGUUUUCGGAUCGUAAAGCUCUGUUGUUAGGGAAGAACAAGUGCGAGAGUAACUGCUCGCACCUUGACGGUACCUAACCAGAAAGCCACGGCUAACUACGUGCCAGCAGCCGCGGUAAUACGUAGGUGGCAAGCGUUGUCCGGAAUUAUUGGGCGUAAAGGGCUCGCAGGCGGUUUCUUAAGUCUGAUGUGAAAGCCCCCGGCUCAACCGGGGAGGGUCAUUGGAAACUGGGAAACUUGAGUGCAGAAGAGGAGAGUGGAAUUCCAUGUGUAGCGGUGAAAUGCGUAGAGAUAUGGAGGAACACCAGUGGCGAAGGCGACUUUCUGGUCUGUAACUGACACUGAGGCGCGAAAGCGUGGGGAGCAAACAGGAUUAGAUACCCUGGUAGUCCACGCCGUAAACGAUGAGUGCUAAGUGUUAGAGGGUUUCCGCCCUUUAGUGCUGAAGUUAACGCAUUAAGCACUCCGCCUGGGGAGUACGGCCGCAAGGCUGAAACUCAAAGGAAUUGACGGA
rnacentral:rRNA from 1 species